GCUGUGGUGGGGGGGGUUCCUGGCACCGUGAUUUGGUGCACAAAGAGAAACAAAAAUCACAUUGCCAGGGAUUUCCACUCCUUCACAG
rnacentral:pre_miRNA from 10 species